ensembl:lncRNA
UUCGUCAUUUCAGGCUGUGACACAUUUGCUUUGGAUUUCUGAGAUCGCACUCGGAGUUCCACCUUGUUGGUUUCACUGUCAGGACGUCAGUCAGGAUGGUUUCCGUUUCAGUGUUUUCUGGAACGCUGGCAUCUCGCAGCGCAUGCCGACGUUUGUGCAGGAGGUGCUGUUGAAGGUUCGUGGGAGCUUCCACCGCUUGUUUUUUUAAGAUUUUAUUUUUCCUUUUUCUCUUCAAAGCCCCCCCCGGUACAUAGUUGUAUAUUUUAGUUGUGGGUCCUUCCAGUUGUGGCAUGUGGGACGCCACCUCAGCAUUGCCUGAUGAGCAGUGCCAUGUCCGCGCCCAGGAUCCAAACCAGUGAAAUCCUGGGCCGCCAAAGCAGAGCGCACGAACUUAACCACUCGGCCACGGGGCCCGCCCUCACCUCCCUGUUGUUAAAUUUCCGGUAUGGAUUUUUAACAUUGGUCCCCACAGUCUUUGUUUCUGAGGGAAGCAAGCUGCUUUAUUUAAACUGCCACAGAAUCUCAUUCUAGUUUAACGUGUGCUCCAAGGAAGUAACCGUCCAGAUGGCCAGAGAACGGUGACCGAGGCGGGUGCACACGUACCGUCGCCAUGUUGUUCCAGAGGGCGCCCGGCAGAGCGGAGGGCUGGGUGCCGAGGCGCCUUCUGUCCUCCUGAGAAGGCAUGAUGGCGGGCUGCCUUCCUCGGAGCAGGUGAUGGGCUUGGGACAUGCUAGGCCCACCUGGAAACUGCGGCUGGCCUCAUUAAGCUUGAGUGAGGGUUCAGAUGCGAGUGUCUUCCAGGUCUUUGUUGUAGUUUAUGAACCAGUCAGUUCUAACCGAACUCAGCUUGAAUGCUGUUGAGAUAGUAGCACAAAUGUAUGUUUUCUUCUAGUAGAUUUUGUAAAUGUGGGUAUAUACAAUAAUUCAUAAGGCACCUGAAAUCUUUUAUGGGACAAAAUUGGUAUAAAUAGUUGUUUUGUCGUUGAAAGUUCUUUGUCCUAUAAUUGUGAAUUUUGAAGCUGUUCCGUAGAAGACUGCUCUUCGUUCCCAGGUCACUGUAGAUCCGUCUGGUGUACCGCCACCUCAGAGAGAUGGUUAACUAAGGUGGGUCCCAAAGCUUGCGGUCAUCGUUAGAUGAUUCCAGCUUGCCACUAGGUGAAGUUAUAAGACGGUUAUGACGUGGGGAGUUGGGGGUGCUGGGGCGGGCUUCACAAGGCCUGAUAGAACUAGCCUGGGCACGUGUUUCGGAGGCUGGUCUCUGUUCUCUAUUUUAAAACUGUCUCUGUGCCUCAGUUUCUUUCCUUGCAUGAUUUUUUUUUAAACAUCUGCAAACUCCUAAUUUGUUUAUCCAGAAUAAUACCUGUUUAAAGAAAAUUCCUGUUUCUUUACAGCACUUAGGAAAGAGUAACUUGUUUUUGCAAAAAUGUCCCUGAGAAUUACUCUCAAUAAGUGAUGGCCAUAUUGCAUAUAAAACUAGAAGAUGAUUUGGAAGGCCAGCCAGCUUGUGUUUCUCCUGAAUAUUCCUGUGUCACAGGCUUUCCUCUGCUCCCCUGGGUCAGCGAGGGGCCUGAUCCCAGCAGUGACAUCUGGGCUUUGGAUGGUUACCGUGGAGCUGGUGAUGGCAUUUGUUGCUAACCAGUGUCCUGCCCGCUGAGCCACGCUCCAUGGAGGAGCUCGUGACUGCCGUUUAGGCGUUUUAAUUCUCCAUAAAUCAGAGAGCAGUGUGGUGUUGCUUUGAGAAAGACAGCACAGAAAGUGUGGUACAAACUGCAGCUUUUCUCAGUUUACUGUCAUCGUUCUCCCAGCUGACCGUUAGCUGACAUCUCGGAACCCGCCAGGCUCUUCCGCUUAGCAUCCUGCGGGGGCGGCUUCCUGUGGGCAGCGGUGCAGACGCAUCGGAUCAGCUGGGCUGUGCCCAGGACCUCGCCGGCUCAGCGUUACACCUGCUGCCUCUCAGCUUGGACGUGCGCACUAUCCUGUAGUGUCAUCAUGAGUGGCAAGAUGGUUACGUACUAGUUCACUGGGAAACGCAGACUAGGGUAUCCUUUGAGAAAGUUCUGGGUUUGAGUGGCUUUGAGAGGAAAAUCUCCAGCAGGGGAUGAAAGCACCUAAUUGAAGAACGGAGUCCGUGGUCCAUGCAGCGCCUGGGGCACCUUGAGGCAUCAGGAGAAGCGCUCUGCGCAGACUCCUCGCAGGUGCCCCCGUGUCCCUCUGUGGCUCUCUGCAUUGCACUGUCCUCAGCCUCAGAGUGCCUGCAGGAUGUCCAUGAAGCUGAGCCCUGACCCAGGUGGAGUCAGGAGGCACCCCCAGCUGCACUGGCCGCCUCCACCAGGGGCUCUCUUACUGCACAGCAUGUCCAUAACUCUGUGAUUGGUGUCACAGGCCAGCUGAGAGCUGGUGCUGUCACCUGUUAACAGCCUCUGUGAAGUCUGGGGAGCAGGCAGGCCUGGUGGCCAAUGGCAAGUGUGGUCCCCGGUGAAAUGAUGGUGUCCUGUCAGCCGAAUGCUGAGCCCACACUCCAACUUGAGAACUGCCCCCGAGGCCCCUGCUGCCCAGCUCCCCUCAGGCUGCUUCCUGAAAGGGGAGAGUGUGCAGCGGAAGAACGCUGUUCCUGUCGUGCAUGCUUAGGAGGCCCACAAAGAGAAGGGCAUCGCAGACAGAAGACCAAAUCGGAAUCCCAGGAGGCGGCAGGGUCUGCUUCCGCUCCUCCCUUAUCACUGCACAUUGGUGACCGGGGCUUGCAGGGGACAGUGCAGUGACCAGCCCAGCAGCCGGUGGCCGAGCAGGCACCAGGUGACGUGAUGACUCGUUGCUGACAUGCCGUUUUCUCUUGCACAGGUUCGCCCCAGUCUUUUCAUACCUUUCUGUCCCUUUCCUGUCAACAGUUAACACGCUUUGUGAAAAGGAGACUGAAAAUGGUCUCUGAUGAGCCCAAAUAAGCCCUUCUGGAAAAUGCAGUUGCUACAGGUGGCUUUUUGUAUGCGUUUUCCUCAGUGUCUGACCUUGUGCUUGUAGCUCACCAUUACAUUACAUCAUCUGGGGUAGAAGGGAAUUAAAGAGCCAAGAAAUAGGAAUCUCUUGCACCUUAAUUUUGUUAAUCGUCAG